ACAUCAGCAGCACUUCCUCCAACAGCAACAAUCCUGACAACAGCAACAACCAUGACAACAGCAACAACAGGGAAUACAACAGCUGAAACUUCCACAAACACAGAGACUCCUUAUCCGUGGCAGAUGCGUGUUCGUACGGUGAUCGCAAUCCUCUAUUUAAUCAUCAUGAUCAGCAUCACCGUCACCACCUGGAGGAAAGCUCGACAAAUAGAAGCGACACACAGCAGAAACAGGAAGUAAUGUCUGAUCCUCCAUCACGCAGCA